rnacentral:rRNA from 1 species
AGGGCACCACCAGGAGUGGAGCCUGCGGCUUAAUUUGACUCAACACGGGAAAACUCACCCGGCCCGGACACUGGAAGGAUUGACAGAUUGAGAGCUCUUUCUUGAUUCAGUGGGUGGUGGUGCAUGGCCGUUCUUAGUUGGUGGAGUGAUUUGUCUGGUUAAUUCCGAUAACGAACGAGACUCUAGCCUACUAAAUAGAUCGUCGGCUUACAAACGCCGGCGAGACUUCUUAGAGGGACAGGCGGUGAUUCAACCGCACGAAACAGAGCAAUAACAGGUCUGUGAUGCCCUUAGAUGUCCGGGGCCGCACGCGCGCUACACUGAAGUGAUCAGCGUGCUUUUUCAACCUACUCUGUCAAGAGUGGGGAACCCAAUGAACCUUCUUCGUGAUUGGGAUAGGGGAUUGUAAUUGUUCCCCUUGAACGAGGAAUUCCCAGUAAGCGCGAGUCAUAAGCUCGCGUUGAUUACGUCCCUGCCCUUUGUACACACCGCCCGUCGCUACUACCGACUGAAUGUUUU